AGAAGAAUCAGGACACAAACAUGCGCAGGGGAACAACCGUGUGAAGACGCAGGGAGAGGACGGCCGCCUGCAAACCAAGGAGAGAGGCCUCAGAGGAAACCAACCCUGCUGACACCUCGGACGUCGGGCCCUCAGAAGUGUGGAGGCCCCAUGUGACGUGGCUCCUCCUGCUGCUCCUGGACUUUCUCCUUGGCAGCGCUCACCAGGCUCAGGGCUCUCUGUUAACCAGCUGUCCCCUUCUCUGGACUGGAAGCCCCACAGGGAGGGGAAUUCUGGUUCAUCGUGUUCACUUUAUCAUCAGGCCCUAGCACAGAUCCUGAC
ensembl:lncRNA